rnacentral:rRNA from 1 species
UACAGAGGUCUCAAGCGUUUGUUCGGAUUCAUUGGGCGUAAAGGGUGCGUAGGCGGCGCGGUAAGUCGGGUGUGAAAUCUCGGAGCUUAACUCCGAAACUGCAUUCGAUACUGCCGUGCUUGAGGACUGGAGAGGAGACUGGAAUUUACGGUGUAGCGGUGGAAUGCGUAGAGAUCCGGAAGAACACCGGUGGCGAAGGCGGCCUGCUGGGCUAUGGCUGACACUGAGGCGCGACAGCGUGGGGAGCAAACAGGG